UUGCCCGAUGAUUAUAAAAAGACGCGAAAGAGGACUAAAAGCUGGAAUCCUUUUCCUUUUAUUCUCUCUACUCUUUUGUCUUUAAUUUCUCUUCUACUUUUCUCUGCUUCCUUUUCUCUCUCUGGGUGUCCAGCGUCCUAUGAGCGAAGAUUAUGAGAUAUGAGGGCAA